GCUUGACUAGAGGGAGGAGCUUGAAUCACAUGACUGGUAGCUGAUUGGGUCAAGCGGAAUGUUUGCAUGAUAGUAACAGAAGAGACAAUAGUGGGCUAGGUACUCUUUUUACUGACCACUGAGGAUGGAUUUUCAAAACAGGACCGUUCCAGUGUGAGAUGUCAACAGCAGAUCUGGGAAAGUGGAUGGAAAUGAAAUGGGGCCAUCUAGUACAGAUAUUUCUUUGUGAACAAACAGCACGAACAUGAGAAGUCAAUGUCCUCAUUCACCAUGUCUCCACAGCUGAACAGGUUACUGCCAUUCCAGUUCUGGACCCAGCUGUCCCCAUAGUUCCCUCGUGAGUGAACAAGACAAGCCACAAAAUAAGAGCAAACCAACACGUGAAUGAAUACCCACACAACAUAAAAGAAUACCCAGAUGUGAUCCCAUUUCACACUGCCAUCCCUUGGAAAACAGUUUGUGUUCUAGUAACUCACACAAUAUGACCCUCUAGGGCCAGGACAAGCUGGAGGAGUGGAAACAGCUCUGCCCACUGUUUGAUGAGCUGUUGAAGCUGGCAAAUUAAGUCAAAAUCUCUUCAUAUGACACUUAGAAGGCAUGGACAUGGUUCACAGAUAGCAUGAUAAAGUGAUUUGCACAGGCUUACAGUUAAUCAGUACCACUUUCUAAAUAGGUGAUAGAACAGAUAUCUUUUGAGAUGGGGCAUGUCAUUCUGCAACUACUUUUAUUUAUCGCUCAGCACUCUCCAUUUAGUUCCUCAGAAAAUGUCAAGGCAAAAACGGUAUUCUUUAUGAUUAUUUGCAAAGAGUUUGAAUCAAGUUCCCAGUGUGAGUCUUCCAUUCGAUGUCACAUUCUCAAUAUAUCUGCACGUAACUGAUUGCGCAAUAUGAGGGCUGUCCGCUCCUCCUGAUAAGACAAUGGACAAUGUGAGAAUGAGCACAGACUGUUUCAGACUGCUGAUGCUCUCACAACAACACAACUCUGUUGUGUCAAUGGAUAGGAGUGUGAGAGCAGUUCCAACAUGUUCCUGGCACUUUUUCCCAAACAUUUCCAUACUGGUCCCAACACUAACACUGGAAGUUAUUGCAUACAGGGCAGAUGGUGUUGAACCAAUACGUUGGAAUGUUGCCUCAGGAGAAAUACAUAAAAGUCAUGCUUUGUGGAGGUGGGCAAGAGGGAUUCCUUUAAUUCUCAAGGCGGCCCACCACAAUGAUGCCAUAGGGCCAUCAAUACAUCAUGAAAGGGUCAAAAACAUGAGUGAACAACAGAGAAUCUAGAUUGCAAUGUGACUGGUUAUUACAUCAGUUGAUGAGAACACAUAUAGUCUAUUGAGAACACAUAUAGUCUAUGGCAGCCUUGCUAUGUAGCCUAAUUAUACAAUAAUUCACUUGUAA